UACGUAGGUGGCAAGCGUUUAUCCGGAAUUAUUGGGCGUAAAGAGCGCGCAGGUGGUUAAUUAAGUCUGAUGUGAAAGCCCACGGCUUAACCGUGGAGGGUCAUUGGAAACUGGUUGACUUGAGUGCAGAAGAGGGAAGUGGAAUUCCAUGUGUAGCGGUGAAAUGCGUAGAGAUAUGGAGGAACACCGGCGGCGAAGGCGGCCUGCUGGACCGUGACUGACGUUGAGGCUCGAGAGCGUGGGGAGCAAACAGG
rnacentral:rRNA from 1 species